AGCCAGCAGCCGCGGUAAUACGUAGGGGGUUAGCGUUGUCCGGAUUUACUGGGUGUAAAGGGCGCGUAGGCGGGUUUGUAAGUCAGAGGUGAAAUCCUGCAGCUUAACUGCAGAGCUGCCUUUGAUACUGCAAAUCUUGAGUUCAGAAGAGAGAGAUGGAAUUCCAGGUGUAGUGGUGAAAUACGUAGAUAUCUGGAAGAACACCAGUGGCGAAGGCGGUCUCUUGGUCUGUAACUGACGCUGAGGCGCGAAAGCGUGGGUAGCAAACAGGAUUAGAUACCCUGGUAGUCCACGCUGUAAACGAUGAAUACUAGAUGUGGGAGUUGUCAUGACUUCCGUGCCGCAGUUAACACAAUAAGUAUUCCGCCUGGGGAGUACGGUCGCAAGAUUAAAACUUAAAUGAAUUGACGGC
rnacentral:rRNA from 1 species